GGGCAACUCAGGUCAUCGUUUAUUUAUAAGCAGAGGCAUGUUGCAUUCAGGUUAAGGCUUCAGAAAGAAACUUCUGGUAGGCAGCCUGGAGGGUAAUUUGGAAGGGAUAGCGAGAAGGCAAGGAGACCAGCUAGAAAGCUGAUGCAACAGUAUACGUAGGUGAGGAGUGAUGAGGCAGCGGGGAAUGCCUGGAGAGGGAGUAAGAAGGCAGAACCUCAGGACUUGGAGACUGGCUGCCUGGAGGUGGAGUGGGAAGUCAAGAACAACUCCCAAGUUUCUAGCUUGUGGUGCCAGUUUUCCGAGCCAGGACACAUAGGAGGAAGGGGAGGAGGAGCAGGUCUGAUGAGGACAUGAAGAGUUCCAUCUUGUUAAAUGCUGACUCUGAGAUAUGAGCAAGACAUCUCGGUGGACAGCAGCAGCAGCGGUUAGGAUAGACUGUGCUAGAGUUCAUAGAUGCCCUGUGGAACGAAGCCUGUAAACAGCCCAUUUUCACUCCUGAAGCAGUUGGUCCCCCACGAAAAGAUGAUUUCCUCCGAAGCAGAUGAAAAUCCCCUUUUCCUCCCCUGGCUCCUGCAGCCUGUGGUCAUGAAGGCAAAGGAAUCAGCCCUUCCUCUGCCACUUCCCAGCUGUGUGGUCCUGUGCAAAUGUCUUAGCUUCUCUGAGCCUCUGUUUCUUUUCUGUAGAGUGAAGAUAAUUCAUUAUUUGUGAGAUUAUUUGAGGAUUAAAUAAUACUGUAUGUGGAAGGGCUGAACACAGUGCCUGGCACAAAGUUAGGUGCAAUAAAAGAGAAUCCCCUUUUUCCAGGCUCCACCAAGCAUAGCACUGAAUUAAGAACU
rnacentral:lncRNA from 1 species